CCUACGGGUGUCAGCAGUGAGGAAUAUUGGUCAAUGGGCGCGAGCCUGAACCAGCCAAUUAGCGUGAAGUAUUACUGCCCUACGGGUUGUAAACUUCUUUUAUAAAGGAAUAAAGUGAGGCACGUGUGCCUUUUUGUAUGUACUUUAUGAAUAAGGAUCGGCUAACUCCGUGCCAGCAGCCGCGGUAAUACGGAGGAUCCGAGCGUUUUCCGGAUUUAUUGUGUUUAACGGGAGCGUAGAUGGGUUGUUAAGUCAGUUGUGAAAGUUUGCGGCUCAACCGUAAAAUUGCAAUUGAUACUGGCAGCCUUGAGUACAGUUGAGGUAGGCGGAAUUCGUGGUGUAGCGGUGAAAUGCUUAGAUAUCACGAAGAACUCCGAUUGCGAAGGCAGCUUACUAAACUGCCACUGACAUUGAUGCUAGAAAGUGUGGGUAUCAAACAGGAUUAGAUACCCUUGUAGUC
rnacentral:rRNA from 1 species